rnacentral:lncRNA from 1 species
AGGCUUCAUGAUGCGACAGCACUGGGUCCCACAAACAGCUACUGCUAGGCACCUGGGAACCACGAAGAAAUAAGAUCGCUGAGCUCAACCAGCCUCUACUGUUCCAUUUUCCCAUGGAGCAGAGUCAGCCAGGCAACUGCUUGGAGGGCAGAUACCCACCUCGCCUUCUUCCGCGCAUCUCAGAAGCCAGUUUCUGGUCCAAGCCACUCUAGGAGAAGCCUAGAAGCGGCACCCCAGGGCUCCCCAACAUCCCCCAGCGCCGGGAAACCGACUCCGGCUCGCAGUAAGGCAGCCAGGCCUGCCCUUGUCUGAACCUGCGUCCUUGAGACUCAGCCAAACCUCUCCCGGCUUGGCGGAGGGAUGUUGAGGUGACAUUCUUCUCCCUGCCACUCAGCAUCUUUUAAACAAUCCUCCACCUUGGGAGAAGACGCAGGAGCUCCCUGCAGAUUAGGGCCACGGAAGAAAGAAAGUCUCCUUCUCCCUGGGAGGGGCAUUUGUCGCAAGUGAAAAAACGCACCCGUGAAAGUGCUCAUCUCCUGCAGCCAAGGCUCGCCCGGGACCUCAUUUCAUGAGUGAGGAGCCUUCAUCUCACCAGCCCACCCCAGCUGACUGCUGGAGGCACCUGGGGAGCUGUGUUGAGACAGAUGCUCAAGGCCAGUAGGAUUCCAUCCGAGAUUCCACAUUACAUUUAGUUGUCGUGUCUGCUGAGGCUGCUCAUGGCUGAGACGGUUUCUUAACUUCCCUUGGUUUUGAUGACCUUGACAGCUCUGAGGGGUACUUGUCAGGUCUUCUGUAGAAUGCCUCUCAACUGAGAUUUCUGACGAUUUUCUCAUGAUUAGACUGCGGUUACACGUUUUGGGGAAGAAGACCACAGAAGUAAACUGCCA